CUGCGUACCUUUUGUAUAAUGGGUCAGCGACUUAUAUUCUGUAGCAAGGUUAACCGUAUAGGGGAGCCGAAGGGAAACCGAGUCUUAACUGGGCGUUAAGUUGCAGGGUAUAGACCCGAAACCCGGUGAUCUAGCCAUGGGCAGGUUGAAGGUUGGGUAACACUAACUGGAGGACCGAACCGACUAAUGUUGAAAAAUUAGCGGAUGACUUGUGGCUGGGGGUGAAAGGCCAAUCAAACCGGGAGAUAGCUGGUUCUCCCCGAAAGCUAUUUAGGUAGCGCCUCGUGAACUCAUCUUCGGGGGUAGAGCACUGUUUCGGCUAGGGGGUCAUCCCGACUUACCAACCCGAUGCAAACUGCGAAUACCGAAGAAUGUUAUCACGGGAGACACACGGCGGGUGCUAACGUCCGUCGUGAAGAGGGAAACAACCCAGACCGCCAGCUAAGGUCCCAAAGUCACAGUUAAGUGGGAAACGAUGUGGGAAGGCUCAGACAGCCAGGAUGUUGGCUUAGAAGCAGCCAUCAUUUAAAGAAAGCGUAAUAGCUCACUGGUCGAGUCGGCCUGCGCGGAAGAUGUAACGGGGCUAAACUGUGCACCGAAGCUGCGGCAGCGACGCUUAUGCGUUGUUGGGUAGGGGAGCGUUCUGUAAGCCUGCGAAGGUGUCCUGUGAGGGAUGCUGGAGGUAUCAGAAGUGCGAAUGCUGACAUAAGUAACGAUAAUGCGGGUGAAAAGCCCGCUCGCCGGAAGACCAAGGGUUCCUGUCCAACGUUAAUCGGGGCAGGGUGAGUCGACCCCUAAGGCGAGGCCGAAAGGCGUAGUCGAUGGGAAACGGGUUAAUAUUCCCGUACUUGGUGUUACUGCGAAGGGGGGACGGAGAAGGCUAUGUUGGCCGGGCGACGGUUGUCCCGGUUUAAGCGUGUAGGCUGGUUUUCCAGGCAAAUCCGGAAAAUCAAG
rnacentral:rRNA from 2 species